CCUACGGGUGGCAGCAGUGAGGAAUAUUGGUCAAUGGACGAGAGUCUGAACCAGCGAAGUAGCGUGAAGGAUGACUGCCCUAUGGGUUGUAAACUUCUUUUAUAAAGGAAUAAAACGAGGCACGUGUGCCUUUUUGCAUGUACUUUAUGAUUAAGGAUCGGCUAAUUCCGGGCCAGCAGCCGCGGUAAUACGGAGGAACCGGGCGUUAUCCGGAUUUAUUGGGUGUAAAGGGAGCGUAGAUGGGUUGUUAAGUUAGAUGUGAAAGUUUGCGGCUCAACCGUAAAAUUGCAAUUGAUACUGGCAAUCUUGAGUACAGGUGAGGUAAGCGGAAUUCGUGGUGUAGCGGUGAAAUGCUUAGAUAUCACGAAGAACCCCGAUUGCGAAGGCAGCUUACUAAACUGUGACUGACAUUGAUGCUCGAAAGUGUGGGUAUCAAACAGGAUUAGAUACCCGAGUAGUC
rnacentral:rRNA from 1 species